rnacentral:misc_RNA from 1 species
UUAAGUUCAGCGGGUAUCCCUACCUGAUCCGAGGUCAACCUUUAAUGGUGGGGGUUGCUAGCGAGCGCCCGCCCAAGCCCAAAAGCGACGAGUAUUACUACGCUUAGGGUCAGACGGUGCCGCCACUGACUUUGAGGCAAGCCCUACAGGGCGAGCCCAAUACCACGCUGGGCGUGAGGGUUGUAAUGACGCUCGAACAG